rnacentral:snoRNA from 1 species
AUGCCAUGAUGUGGACAUUUUCUUAAUAUUGCUUUUAAUCUUUCCCAAGCCUCAUAAACUGAUUCAAUUUUAGUCUGCAAGAAAUUAAAAAAAUUUCUUGUCCU